CCUUCCUUCCUUCCUUCCUUCCUUCCUUCCUUCCUUCCUUCCUUCCUUCCUUCUUCCUUCUUUCCUUCCUUUCAAUGAAAAUACCCUCCUAGGAUGGACAGAUGAUUUAGAAUUUCUUUUCCCCUAGCAAACAGGAGUUUCUAACAUGUAGCAUCACAGGCCUUAUAUGAGAACCAGAGCCCUAGAAUGACACCCCCACCACCCUGGCAAUCAGCGGGGUGAAGAGGUUACGGGACUGUGAGGCAGGGGGCUUGAUGGGAGCUCUGUGUCUGUUGCUGGGCUGCCAAGCAUUGUGACCCUUUGUCAGGCUCAGGUCCCCUCUGAGCCUGCUGACCCAGGAUGAGCCCCCUGCAAGCUGUGGGACGCAGCAGGUGCAGGAUGGAGUAGGCGCGCCCAGCCAGCAGGCACACGUGAGCCUGAGUGGAGCGUGACAUUUAUCAGCACAAUGUGGCCAUGCUGCAGCUCCAGCUAUUCCUCCAUACUGUAAAACCUGAGAAUUUGCAAGGCCCCAGCCCUAGCUCUGCUGGGACCCCUGAUGCAGGUUCAACUGGGCCAUUUCAGGUCGUCCAUGCAGGAUGUCUGGUGCCAACGGGCCUGGGCGGCUGCAUUGUGUAUGAAUGAGGCAGAUCAUGAAUAAUGCAUGUGACACUGAUUAUGCAAAUCCUCAGGUUCUUAGAUUUUCAGCCAGCACACCACAAUGGGCUGCUGGGGGCCCUCUGAGCUCCUGUUCUAUGGUUUUGAGUCUGUUCUCGAGGAUCUGGGCUGCCAAAUUCCAGGGGGCACCUUGGGAAGAAGUGGGCACCCUGGCAAGUCCAAACUCCUAUCACUGCUUCAGCUGCCCUGACACAGCUCAGUGCAGAAGGCCCCGGUUUUCUGCCUGAGGUAGCCCAUGGCACACACAUGCGGAGGCUUGUGAUAUUUAAUUCAGAGGGCACCUCCAUCGAAGACCCAAGCUAAGCUCUGCCGUGGAUCUGAACUUGGUGCACCAGACGGAUGAUGAGCAGUUCAGCAUUAGACACCCUAGCAUCAGCGAGUGAGAAAUCCACCCACAGACGGAGCAGAGGCCAGGAAAAGAGAAUCAUCUGUUCUUCCUCGGCUGACUCUGGUUGCUGAUGAUUCAUUAUCUGGCUUCCCAAAGUGAAAAGAAAAGGUUGUCCUGGACUGGACUCUAGGAAUCGGAGGCCUCAAGGAACCAGCGUGCCCCACAAUGACGGCAAAUGCUUCGGCACUGGGCAUGGGGGCAGAGUGUGAAUCAGCCUUGAGGACCACCUGGUAGAGGCUGUUCUCACUCAGGCAUGUUUCCUACUGGGUGAGCAUCUGGGACUUCCGGUCAGUCACACAGGGAGACCUUAUCCAGCGACUGCCAUGGUCUGUGUG